AAGAGAGGUACGGAACAAAAAGAAUUGCUAACUCUUUCAUUCAUGGUUCAACUCCAUGGCUCACUUA
rnacentral:tRNA from 1 species